rnacentral:rRNA from 1 species
AUGACCGCCGCCGCAUGGCCGGUCUGCACCAUCUGCUACGAGGACCUCCGCCCGCUCUCCGACCAGCACAUCUACUGCCUCCCCUCCUGCGGCCACGUCUUCCACGCCCUCUGGUCCGCCCCGCCCUUCCCUCCCAAUCCGUUAUCUUCUCCCGUUCUGUCCUCGCGAUGGCCGGCUAACAAGAGGCUUCCCGCGUGUUGUUGCAGCGUAGAGCAAUGGCUGGAGUACUGCCCGAGCGCGGGCGGCAAGAAGAAGGGCAAGUGCCCCAUCUGCAAGCAAGCCUGCGGCUCCUCUCACCCCCCGACCCGCCUCUUCUUCCAGUCCACCGGCGCGUGCCCCACGCAGGCGCCCCCCUCCUCGUCGCAGGACGCCGACCCGGAGGCGCUCGCCGAAGAGGUCGCCCGGCUGGAGCAGAAGGCGUCGUCCCUUGGCAAGGUGCUCGAGGAGCAGCGGGAUGGGAUCCAGAAGCUCAACGCCGAGGCUAGUGCUGCUACCGCAUCGGCCGGAUCUCUUAUUGGGCUGGUUCUUUUGUGUGGAUCGCUAAUGGUUUCUUGGUGGUUCUUGGUUCAGAUCGUCAGGUGGAAGGAGCAGGCGGCGACGGCAGAGACGAUGCGGGAGUCGGCUAGGAAGGAGAAAGAGUCUGUGCAGCGGCUGCUCAAUGCGAAAACAGAGGAGUUGUCGAGGAAGACGUCGGAGUGCGUGAGGUUGCAGGAGAGGAGCCUUGCGCUGGCGAAGGAGCUUGCGGCCCUAAAGCUGUCGACUGACAUGAACCUUCAGGAAGAAGAGAUCCUAAAGUUGGCUUCAUUGGGCAACCAUGGCAACCUUGAGAAUGCUGUUGACGUUCUGAAGAGAUCACUUGCUCUCCGCAACAAGAGCUACAAAGACUUGAUGGUCCAAUGCAAUCAUCUGGGAAGAUCAGAAAGUCGCGCUCAGCAGAGGAUUGAGAAGGACAAAGAGCUGAUAAAGAAGUUGAGGGCAAAGGUACUUGAUCUUCAGAAGGAACUGGAAGAAAAGGAAAAUAAUGUCAUCAGAGACUUGAGGUCUUCAAAGAAAUUUAAAGCUGACCAGAACCAGACAAAUCCAGUGAAUGCCAAUGCUAAUAAUGGUUUCUCUAGUCCAAGUGCUGGAUAUGGGAAUCAAACAGUGAAGCUUGAUGAUGUGAUGCAGGAUGGAUGCAACGAGAAGGCUCAGUUGAACCAGGUGUCCCCUGAAGCCAAAAGGGAUCCGAACUUAGAAGACAACCUGGACAUCAAGACUGCAGAUGUGAUAGACUUAGAUGCCGAUGACAACAACACGAUAAAAUGUCCUGCCAAGCCGUUUGGGUAUAAGGAUUACACUUUGGAUACACAAAAUCAGUCCAGUCACUGUGAACAUGAUAAGAAAGAGCCCACGGCAUUCGGAUGUGAGCCUUCCUUCUAUGUACCAGAAGAAACAUCAUUUCUGAAACACACGGCGGUCACUGGAAACUCUACAUUUCAGGAGAUUCUUAUGAAGACCAAACUGCAAAACGUUCAAGAGCUUCCUGUUCUGAGAAGUAUGAAUGUUACAACUUCAACAUGGAAGAAAGAAUCGCUGACAAUUGGCGGCAUCUCUAAACAAGCAACUAGGCUGGCUUCUGGUACUGGACCUCAGACAUUUCACAAUUUAAAUUCUCUUUCCGAUGAUGAUUUUCAGACACUACCUGGAUGUACCGGUGAAGGGGCAAGAAAAAGCAUCGGCAAAUGGUCCAAGGGCAUGGCAGCACCUGGGUAUCUAGGUGCAAACACAAACAAAGGCAAUCUGAUAUCUGUGGGGCACGACGGGCGCGGGGGAAAGGUGAAAGUCCUGAGAGAUCAUGGCCGGUUCCCGGAUAGCAGGACUCCAGCACUGUGGCCUAAGGCACAGCAGAAGGCUGGAGGCAAAGGUGGGCAGUCUCAGAUAGAGCACUUCUUUGUGAAGAGAUGA